GGGUUGUGAGGUUAAGCGACUAAGCGUACACGGUGGAUGCCCUGGCAGUCAGAGGCGAUGAAGGGCGUGCUAAUCUGCGAUAAGCGCCGGUAAGGUGAUAUGAACCGUUAUAACCGGCGAUACCCGAAUGGGGAAACCCAGUGUGACUCGUCACACUAUCAUUAACUGAAUCCAUAGGUUAAUGAGGCGAACCGGGGGAACUGAAACAUCUAAGUACCCCGAGGAAAAGAAAUCAACCGAGAUUCCCCCAGUAGCGGCGAGCGAACGGGGAGGAGCCCAGAGCCUGAAUCAGCAUGUGUGUUAGUGGAAGCGUCUGGAAAGGCGCGCGAUACAGGGUGACAGCCCCGUACACAAAAGCGUAUGUGCUGUGAGCUCGAUGAGUAGGGCGGGACACGUGGUAUCCUGUCUGAAUAUGGGGGGACCAUCCUCCAAGGCUAAAUACUCCUGACUGACCGAUAGUGAACCAGUACCGUGAGGGAAAGGCGAAAAGAACCCCGGCGAGGGGAGUGAAAAAGAACCUGAAACCGUGUACGUACAAGCAGUGGGAGCCCCACCACUAAGCCAGUGGUGAACUCCACAUACGCAUCCUUUGCUGAGGAUACGGUUAACGGAGCGAAAGCGACGUUCAACCGCAAAAGAAGCAGAGGGGGCUUAGUGGUGGGGUGACUGCGUACCUUUUGUAUAAUGGGUCAGCGACUUAUAUUCUGUAGCAAGGUUAACCGAAUAGGGGAGCCGGAGGGAAACC
rnacentral:rRNA from 1 species